CGGAGAUAGCUGGUUCUCCCCGAAAUAGCUUUAGGGCUAGCCUCGAGGUUGAGAGUAUAGGCGGUAGAGCACUGAUCGGGCUAGGGGCCAUACCGGUUACCGAACCUAGUCAAACUACGAAUGGCUAUACUUAUACUCGGGAGUCAGACAGUGAAUGAUAAGGUCCAUUGUCAAGAGGGAAACAGCCCAGAACACCGACUAAGGUCCCAAAUGUUACACUAAGUGGCGAAGGAUGUGGAGUUUCCAAAACAACCAGGAUGUUGGCUUAGAAGCAGCCACCAUUUAAAGAGUGCGUAAUAGCUCACUAGUCGAGUGACCCUGCGCCGAAAAUGUCCGGGGCUAAAGUGUAAAACCGAAGUCGUGUCAUAUGCAGCAAUGUAUAUGGGUAGGGGAGCGUUCUCAUCGGGCUGAAGCAGUACCGUAAGGAGUUGUGGACUGAUGAGAAGUGAGAAUGUCGGUAUGAGUAGCGAAAAGAAUGGUGAGAAUCCAUUCCACCGAAAGCCUAAGGGUUCCUGAGCAACGAUCGUCGUCUCAGGGUAAGUCGGGACCUAAGCCGAGGCCGAAAGGCGUAGGCGAUGGACAACAGGUAGAGAUUCCUGUACUUGUUAACAAUGUUUGAGCGAUGGAGGGACGCAGGAGGCGACGCCACGCAGACGGAUGGAAGUGUCUGUAGAAGCACGAAGUGGUGGUAUGAGUCAAAUGCUUAUACCUAUAACGUUGAGCUGUGAUGGGGAGCGAAGUUUAGUAGCGAGUGAGUGAUGUCACACUGCCAAGAAAAGCUUCUAGCGUUGUAUCAUACUCUACCCGUACCGCAAACCGACACAGGUAGUCGAGGCGAGUAGCCUCAGGUGAGCGAGAGAACUCUCGUUAAGGAACUCGGCAAAAUGACCCCGUAACUUCGGGAGUGAGGUGUGAAUUGAGUUAAAUGCUUAGUUCUAUAACAUUGAGCUGUGAUGGGGAGCGAAGUUUAGUAGCGAAGUUAGUGACGUCACACUGCCAAGAAAAGCUUCUAGCGUUUAAACAUACUCUACCCGUACCGCAAACCGACACAGGUAGUCGAGGCGAGUAGCCUCAGGUGAGCGAGAGAACUCUCGUUAA
rnacentral:rRNA from 1 species